UACGGGGGGGGCAAGCGUUGUUCGGAAUUACUGGGCGUAAAGGGCUUGUAGGUGGCCAACUAAGUCAGACGUGAAAUCCCUCGGCUUAACCGGGGAACUGCGUCUGAUACUGGAUGGCUCGAGUGUGGGAGAGGGAUGCGGAAUUCCAGGUGUAGCGGUGAAAUGCGUAGAUAUCUGGAGGAACACCGGUGGCGAAGGCGGCAUCCUGGACCGGCAUUGACGCUGAGGCGCGAAAGCCAGGGGAGCAAACGGG
rnacentral:rRNA from 1 species